rnacentral:rRNA from 1 species
CCUACGGGUAGCAGCAGUGGGGAAUAUUGCACAAUGGGGGAAACCCUGAUCCAGCGACGCCGCGUGAGUGAAGAAGUAUCUCGUUACGUUACGCUCUAUCAGCAGGGAAGAAAAUGACGGUACCUGACUAAGAAGCCCCGGCUAACUACGUGCCAGCAGCCGCGGUAAUACGUAGGGUGCAAGCGUUAUCCGGAUUUACUGGGUGUAAAGGGAGCGUAGACGGCAGCACAAGUCUGGAGUGAAAUCCCUGGGCGUAACCCCGGAACUGCUUUGGCAACUGUGCGGCUGGAGUGCAGGAGGGGUAAGCGGAAUUCGUGGUGGAGCGGUGAAAUGCGUAGAUAUUAGGAGGAACACCGGUGGCGAAGGCGGCUUACUGGACUGUAACUGACGUUGAGGCUCGAAAGCGUGGGGAGCAAACAGGAUUAGAUACCCCAGUAGUC